GGACAGAUCACUUAAGGUUCUUUUGUAUUUUCAAAACAGGUUUAAAUUGAGGGUGGACAGAUAUUGAAAUGCCCAACUUAUUGUACCUAGGUGCCAAAGGAGAUGAUGGAAAUGUCAAAAGUCGUGUUCCUGAUCGGGAGGAUUUUUACAAAUCUGAAGCAGAACUGUGGAUAUAACGGAAAAGUUACCCAUCAAAGACUGUCCUAAU
rnacentral:lncRNA from 12 species